rnacentral:rRNA from 1 species
GACGAACGCUGGCGGCGUGCCUAAUACAUGCAAGUCGAGCGAAGUUUUUCUGGUGCUUGCACUAGAAAAACUUAGCGGCGAACGGGUGAGUAACACGUAAAGAACCUGCCUCAUAGACUGGGACAACUAUUGGAAACGAUAGCUAAUACCGGAUAACAGUAUUUCUCGCAUGAGAGAUAUUUAAAAGUUGGUUAUGCUAACACUAUGAGAUGGCUUUGCGGUGCAUUAGCUAGUUGGUGGGGUAAAGGCCCACCAAGGCGACGAUGCAUAGCCGACCUGAGAGGGUGAUCGGCCACACUGGGACUGAGACACGGCCCAGUCUCCUACGGGAGGCAGCAGUAGGGAAUCUUCCGCAAUGGGCGAAAGCCUGACGGAGCAACGCCGCGUGAGUGAAGAAGGAUUUCGGUUCGUAAAGCUCUGUUGUUAGGGAAGAAUGGAUAUGUAGUAACUAUACAUGUAAGAGACGGUACCUAACCAGAAAGCCACGGCUAACUACGUG